CCUACGGGUGGCAGCAGUGAGGAAUAUUGGUCAAUGGACGCGAGUCUGAACCAGCCAAGUAGCGUGAAGGAUGACUGCCCUAUGGUUUGUAAACUUCUUUUAUAUGGGAGUAAAAUGUUCCACGUGUGGGAUUUUGUAUGUACCAUAUGAAUAAGGAUCGGCUAACUCCGUGCCAGCAGCCGCGGUAAUACGGAGGAUCCGAGCGUUAUCCGGAUUUAUUGGGUUUAAAGGGAGCGUAGGUGGGUUGUUAAGUGAGUUGUGAAAGUUUGCGGCUGAACCGUAAAAUUGCAGUUGAAACUGGUGGUCUUGAGUACAGGAGAGGUGGGCGGAAUUCGUGGUGUAGCGGUGAAAUGCUUAGAUAUCACGAAGAACUCCGAUUGCGAAGGCAGUCCACUGGACUGCAACUGACACUGAGGCUCGAAAGUGUGGGUAUCAAACAGGAUUAGAUACCCGGGUAGUC
rnacentral:rRNA from 1 species